rnacentral:rRNA from 1 species
UACGGAGGGUGCGAGCGUUGUCCGGAAUCACUGGGCGUAAAGGGCGCGUAGGCGGCUCAUGAAGGCUGUGGUGAAAGUCCGGGGCUCAACCUCGGAUCGGCCGUGGCGACUCGUGGGCUGGAGCACUGUAGAGGCGGGUGGAAUUCCGGGUGUAGCGGUGGAAUGCGUAGAGAUCCGGAAGAACACCAGUGGCGAAAGGCGGCCCGCUGGGCAGUGGCUGACGCUGAAGCGCGACAGCGUGGGGGAGCAAAACAGG